UGCAAGGCCAGGCAAGGCUUCGUGAAGC
rnacentral:piRNA from 1 species